rnacentral:tRNA from 1 species
GCUGUGGCUGAGUCGUAAAACAUCUGUUUUACAUACAGAAAGACCUAGGUUCAGUUCCCAGCAUCUAUA